GAGAAACGCAAACUUGCAGAGCAGAAAAGGUUUGAAAAACAGCAGGAGAAAACAUUUCAGAGGCAGCUGGACGAGGAGAGAAAAAAGAGUGAAGCUGAAAUCAUGAGAGCACAUGAGGAAGGGAAAAAGGACGAGAAGGAGAGGGAAAUGAAUGAGAAAAUGCAGAUGGAGGAAAACAUGAAGUUGAAGAGACAGCUUAAAUAUGAUGAAAGGAAACGUAAAAACAACAGGAGAUGGACUAUAAGAAUUGUCAAACGUGAUGAGUUGAUUGACAAAAUAAGCGCUGCACCACGACGUUUUUGCCAAGCCGUGACCAAGCUUUUCAGGCCAAGUUUUGGAAAACAAGUAGAGAAAAGGUUGAAGGAAACACAAAAGGCAGAAUUGCUGAGGUUCCAGCAUGAAAAGGACUACAUGAAGGAGGAUUUCGAGAGAAGGGUAAAGCAGACACUGGAGAUGUAUAAAGUGGAGGAGGAGAGAAAAUGGUGUCUGGAAGACAGGCAGAAAGUGCAUGCUGCCGAGAAGGAGGCAAACGAGUGGAACCGUAAAAUGCGGGUUGGGCUGUCAAAGGUGAGGGGCAGUGCGAGUCGCAUCAAUAUGUUUUGAGAGGAGGCGACAGGACACCAAGAAGGAGCAAGUCAGACAAAAGUGGUUCAAAAGAAGCAGAGAAGUAACCCAAGGGGGAGGAGAGCGCAUCUUCACAGGAACUGCUGUCAUAAAGCUCUUUUAUAUGAAUGGGUUGUAUGAGAAGUGCCAGGGCAUUGUUACCAAGGCUCACACUAAAUGUGUCCUGGCCACACAAACGAGUAUCAUACAACAUAGCAGCCAAGAGAACACCACUGUGGAAGCAGAUCUUUCAGACCCAGCGGGAACUCUCCAAACUAAAAGCUUCUCUCGAAUAUCGGCCAUCCGUCUGCUGUCCCAGCACCUGCCCAAGGAGGACGGGUUCCCCCAAAAGCCAGGGUCCUCCCAAGGUUUCUUUUAGCUUCUGGGAGUUUUUCCUUGCCACUGACGCCUAUGGCUUGCUUCUGGGGGCAUGAGGAGUGUUAAU